rnacentral:sRNA from 1 species
AUUUAGCCCUGAUGGAAGCGGCAUCCUUUUGUGCCGGGGUUCGGCACAAAAGAUACAGCGGACAGCAGGAAUAGCU